GAUGAACGCUAGCGGCAGGCCUAAAACAUGCAAGUCGAACGGUGUCUUCGGACAUAGUGGCGCACGGGUGCGUAACACGUAUGCAACCUACCUUACAUUGGGGGAUAGCCUUUCGAAAGGGAGAUUAAUACCGCAUAAGACAGUAGCUGGGCAUCCAGCAGCUGUUAAAGAUUUAUCGAUGUAAGCUGGGCAUGCGUCCAAUUAGCUAGUUGGUGAGGUAACGGCUCACCAAGGCAAUGAUUGGUAGGGGAACUGAGAGGUCAAUCCCCCGCACUGGCACUGAGAUACGGGCCAGACUCCUACGGGAGGCAGCAGUAGGGAAUAUUGGGCAAUGGACGCAAGUCUGACCCAGCCAUGCCGCGUGCAGGAUGAAGGCGUUAUGCGUUGUAAACUGCUUUUGUACAGGAAGAAACGACUCUUGCGAGAGGCAUUGACGGUACUGUAUGAAUAAGCACCGGCUAACUCCGUGCCAGCAGCCGCCGCAGUAA
rnacentral:rRNA from 1 species